GGCUCCUACGAUUCUUCGUUGACAGAAGCGUAUCGUUGCUAUCUCAGUUGUUAUUUUAACAGAUUUCAGAGACCUGUUUGAGUUCAAACGUCUUCAUUAUUUCUGCAGACAGGUUUCUGUUGUUGUGAUCGAUUAUCUGGAUUCUACAGUUUUUCCUGUGUUUCACCUUGAUCUGGUGCAAAGAUCAACUCUAGAGUGAAUCAAGCCUGAGUCAGAACAUCAGCCAGACGUCAUUGGGUUUCGAUGGUUCCACCUUCCAGCCUCUUCAAGUUGACAGCACAUGCAGCCUACAUCAAGAAACAAUCAGCCAGACGUCAUUGGUCCCGGAUUUCGAUGUUUCCAGCUUCCAGCCUCUUCCAGUUGACAGUGAAUGCAGCCUGGAUCUCCCAACAAUUAGCCAGACUUCAUUGGUACUGGAUUUUGAUGAUUCUACAUUCCAGCCGCUUCCAAUUGAUAGUGAAUGCAGCCUAGGUGAAGCAGCAAUCAGCCAGGCAUCAUUGGGCCCAGAUUUCGCUGUUUCUCGCUUCCAGCCUCUUCCGGUCGACAGUGAAUGCAGCCUGGAUCUACCAACAAUCAGCGAGACGUCAUUGGGCCCAGAUUUUGAUGAUUCAACAUUCAGGAAGCUUCAGGUUGACAGUGCUUGCAGCCUAGAUCAAGCAUCAAUCAGCCAGACGUCAUUGGGCUCUGAGUUUCAUGAUGCCACCUUCAGGCUGCCUUCAGUUACCAGUGCAUGCAGCCUAGAUGAAGAAACAAUCAGCCAGACGUCAUUGGGCCCAGAUUUGGAUGAUUCCAUCUUCAGCAGUGAAAGCAACCUGUCACAAGACUACAGCCAGACUUUGAUGAAAUCCAUUGUCAGCCCUGUUCCUGGGAGCAGUGGUUCCAGCCUGUCACAGACCAUCAGCCAAGUAUCAAGUAUUGAGGAUUUCAGUGAAUCCAUCCUCAUAGCCUAUUCCUUUCAGCUGUGAAUCCAGUCACAAGAUAUCAGCCAGAAUGAAUGAAAGUUUUGGCAAGAGCUCAAAAUAUACUAAACAUGUAAAAGCAGAAAGAAACAAUUUACUAUUACCAUACCCCCCACACACACACACACACUUCUGCACUUUUAAUGCCUGUUCUCAUGUCGGGUUUCUUUUGUAUUUCUACAGAUUUCUUCCUUGAAUUUGUCCCAGGAUAAUAAUCUAAUGAAGGUUGCAGUGACUCUCCUGCUGUGAACCUUGGCUUCAUUUCAUUUCAGAUCUAUAUAUCACUUCACACCACGCUGUGUCCAGCAACAGAGAUCCAAGAUCUAGCUCCAGACAAAACUCCAUCCACCUUGGUGACCCCUUCCUUGGCUCAGGACUCAAGAUUUAGUUUGAACUUCAUAUAUAUCUGUGUUCAAUAACAGUGACCCAUCUCCAGCCAAAAAUCCACCUGCCCUUCUACUCUUUCCAGAAACUCUUAAAUGAUUGUCUGCAUCCCAAAUACAACCUGCUGGAACCAUAAUCUGAUUCUGUGAAAGAGAUUUGUCAGUGACAAGAUUCCCAGUCUAACUGGUAGCCAAUGCAGUUCUUUCAGGACCAUAGUUAUGUGGUUGGUAAUUAGGCAUUGUGUGCUGAGCCUGACGCCUGUAUUUAGCACACACUGUAUCUCGUGCAAAUGACUUUGCUGAAUGUCCUGCAGGAGAUAUUAUUAUUAGAUUAAAGCACAAAAUGCAGCAAAUUGGGUUUGGGUGAUCCUUGCACAGUCAGGCUGGUUAGGCUUAUCAUCAGCUCAGGGUUCUUGCCCCCUCUACACGCAGCCCAGACAGCAAAUGGGAAUUCUUCCAGGAAGCACUGCCUAGUCAAACCCACUAAGAAUGUUUUGGAGAAAGUGAAAACUCCUCAACACUGCAGCCUUCUGCAAUACACAUAUUGUCAGAAGGGCUUUAUUCCCAGGAACAAACCUGGGUACUCUCCCAAUUUCAGUCAACAGAUUGGGAGGUACCAAACCUGAGGCACCGAGAACAAUGAGGAGUUGGACAACUUGGUUCUUGGGAUGUAAGCGUGACAUUUCGAAAGCGAGGUCUGCAUAUUUGCCAUGUUUUUCCUCCAUCUUGUCAAUCACAUUAGUGUCAAAAGAGACAGAAAAUU
rnacentral:misc_RNA from 1 species